rnacentral:lncRNA from 1 species
GGAACUUUACAUUUCUGUCAACCCUUUGGGAUGUCCAGGUUACACCUCUCAGUAGUAAAAUCUGUGAAGUAAAAACUAGAUUUUUUUUUUGAAAGAUCAACAGCGGACUGAGAGGUUUCCAAUUUGGCUCCCUUGGGAUAAGGUGCUCCUCUGUGUUUGGUGCUUCCAUUGCUAGUUCAGAGAUAAGUCCAUAUACAGUGGUCAGGGAGGGAGAUAGGAUUUGAAACAUCAAGUACGUUUGUUUGGACAGUGGGUAUUGAUAAUACAUGAAAACCUUGCUUGAAGGUUCAUUGGUACAAAGGGACACGCUUGUCUUGUGUGUUCACUCCCUACUUAUCCAUUGCUCCUGAAACAGUGAAAUGUAUGGAGUGGGCUGAGGGUGUGAGGGGGGGGAGUCUUGUUUUUCCUUGAAGAAAAAACCCGCCAGAAAAUCUAGCCUGUGGUAACUGGGCAGUGUUUCCCAUUGAAGGUGAACUUUACAGAUGUCAGUUUUAUACCCUGUAUUUCCUUCAGUUCCAUAUGCUGAAAAACACCUGCUAAAUUUUCAUACAGUUGCAGUAACACUACCUCCAUAUGUGGGUUUGGAAGCAUGUGCUGGAAAAAUGGUCAAUGUAGUGCUGGAUUACAAUAGUGCUAAUGCAGCUGAUGGUGAUGCUACUGUUUUUGUAUGUUUUAAUGUUGGAAAGAGCCAGUUAGAAACUCUUUGUUUGCAAGAAUAAGUUUCUUAAACUGCAUCUGAUGAAAUUUUGUUCUUUGUAACACUGGAGAUUUUCUUCUGUUGAAGUUACAAUGUUUAUAAUUGGUGUCUUGCUAUGUCAAUGUACGGAUUGUAUCUUAAACCUUGUAUUUAAUGCUUUAAUGUAUUCUGUAAAAUCUUCUCUUGGAAUGUCAGCGCCUCGUCCAUAACACAGUGUCAAUGCUUGACGCAUAUGUAGACUGUUAAUGUUUUUGGUUUGACCUGAUGAUUGCUCUUGGAGCAUUUUCUCCCACUUGGUGUGCUAUCUUUUGUGUGUGGUACUUACUCAGGAAAUAACCUCUGGAACAUCUGUGUAUGUCAGACGCAAAGGAGAUACUUCUUCAGAUGUUAUGCUGGACUUCAAAAUGCAACAAAUGAAACCAUUGAUGUUUGCUAAAUCUUUUCUCCCCAUUAUUGCAAAAAUCUGUCAGUUAAAUACAGAAGGGACCUUAAGGGCUUAGAGAGACUGAAAACAAAUUGUAUGUACAGGAUCUUUCUCAUGGCUCACUCUUUUUGAGAAGGUUUAUGGGCUUUAUGGCUGGUGUGAGACACACGACCCACUCCUGUUCUCUCUAUGGAACAGUAGGUGCUCGGACAGGUAACUUCUGUUGCUACUGUCUUUUUUUUUUUUUUCUUUUUUUUUUUUUUUCUGUUUUUCUGUUUUUUUUUCACUGUUCUAGGAGUUGCUUUAAGCUGAACACUGCAGGAUUUAUAACCAGAUAUUUGCUGCCUUUUCCUUUGUUUUAUUUCUUUAAGUCUUUCCUAACCUUUGAGGGUAACUUUUGGAGCAUUCUGAUUGUGGAUCUUGGCCUGCUGUUGGAAGCCUCCAGGCCUCUUGUAUUUCCAGUUUGAGUUGAAAAGUUUUUGUUUUGUUUGUUUGCUUAAACUGAUGACACAAACUAGAUGCGCGGACUUUGGGUGAGAUUUGCUGUUGCUCUACUUUGUGUGACUUAUUCUCCUUUUUUUACAGAAAUGUGUUCUAACAGUUCACACUUUGUUACUGUUCUUUGCAAAACUUUUCAGGAGCCAAAAAAAGUCAAACAAUCCAGAGAAAACCUUCCCUUCUCCCCUUUCUGAUGGCGAGAGUGAGAACUUAUGAAAAGUCCUUGAGAAUGUUCCUUCCUAAACUUUUCCCCUCAGUAAUGCAAGCGGGUAAAAUGGUAAAUGCAGCAGUUUGGUGACAUCCAAACCCGACCUGUUGUCAGGUAAAUUGGUUCUUUUCUGCUCUUACUGUAACCUUCAUAAGUUUAACUUGUCUGCCUUCCUUUCAUCCCAUCAGUUCGUUUUGGUGAAGCUUCUGGAGUGAUUUCUUUAACAGUGAUAUUUAGAGAGAAUUCUACAUUUCUUCUUUAUUUCCUCUCCUUAAACAUGUUAAUUUUAAAAAAACUGUCAUUGUCCUUUGCUUUACUCAGGUGAGACAAAAGUGAGUCCCCUCAUAUAAGUAAGUAUAUGUGCAGAAUAGUUUUGUAAUAUGUUCAUUCCACCUCCUCUUUUAUCAAUUCAAGGUAGUUUGCCUCCCAGUGUACUAUUUUAGCUUAGGUUUUUGAAAGAUGGAAUGUAAAAUAUAAGUGCAUCAAUUAGGAGUUGAUUGGUAUGAAGAAAUAGUACUAAGAACAUUUAAUCUAUUAAAAUUCAAUAGAGCAGGAACCUAUGAGGAGGACAGAUGGGAGAACACAUGUGCCAAAGAAAAAGACGGUGGGGCUGAUUAUUUCUCUUUGUGGAGGAUGGGGUGACACAUUUCUCUGUUGCCCUUACUGCUAUAUCCAAGUACUUGUACAUUUUAUACUGUUCUGGCAACUCGCUCCCUUAAUCUCAAAUCACUUAAAAGUGCUAGGAACUUAAUACUUUUUUUACUUUGUUUAAGGAGGAGAAUCUAUAUUUUACUCAGAGGUAAAUAUCAGACAGUUGGAAUACCAAGUGGAAGAAUAUGAGCCUACACUCAGGCUUCCAAGUUUCCUGAUGCAGUGUUUUAUUUCCCAUGACAUCUGUAAAGAAUUAGCACUUGUUUCAGAUUUUUUUUUUGUGUACAUUAAGAACUCUUCUAUAUCAUCAAAUAGUCUGCUUUUCAUAUUCUCAAUUUAUAUUAUCCUGAAACACAGCAAGUUUUAUCAGCAAUACCAUAAAUUGCAGCUUCAAAUUAAAGUGGGAGGAAAUAAUUUUAGAGCCAAAUUUUGCUCUCAGUUACACUGAGAUAACCGUGGAAUCAGUCUGGGAAAGCCAGUGGAGUGAUAACCAAUUGCACUGGUACAAUUGAGUGUAUAAUUUAUGUCUUUAAUUUUACUUGCGAGAUGAUUUUACAGACCUGUUUUACUUAUGUUUCCAAUGCUUUUUCCUUUCAGACAUACCCACUUCUUGCGUCUCAGCACUGGGCAGGCCUAUUCCUUUAUUUGUGUAUAUUUUUGUGAAUCAGCUGCUAUAGGACACGGGUGUAACACUUUCAGGCAUGUGUUGGGUGUCUUUGGGGAAGAGAUUUGUGGGUUUGUAAUAAUGUCUAAAAAAAAAAAGAUAAUUUCCUCAGAUUGUUAACAAAUUGAUGUUGGCUCCCAGUUUUGCAUCUCUUAACCUGAUUUCAUGUUUAUUACAUGAAGGUGUGUUCUUGAAAGACAGAUGGUGCUAGUUCUUUGCAGUGUCUGCAAAUGAUCUGUGGUGGGGAGAGUUGAUAAAAAUUUCAUUCUGCAGAAGUUACUAUCUUAAUAUUUAAUGUUGCUUGAAAGGUAGUUUUACAGAUCAUGCUCUUUCCUCUUUAUGUAGUGGCUUUCAAAGCCUUGUAUUGAUCUUGGUUGUGCCCAGUGCUUUGCCUAGUGUGUGGGGGAAAUGUAGAACUUGAGUAAGCCAUGACAUCUUAGAUGGUGUGGAUGAUGAUUAUGUGCGUGCUGAACAAGAACUUCUUCUAUAUGCCCUUCUGCUGCAACAGAGUAAUAAAACUGGUAGGUGGCAGCAGCAGUAGAAGAAACUCAUGUGACUGACCUGGGAAACCUCCGGUACUGUGAAAAAUGGAUUGCAAAAUCUUAACUGAAGUAAGGGGGACGGAGGAGAGAGGCAGAGUCCCUGAACUGUCCCUUUGAAUGAUGUCCUGUUUAUGGUGGAAGCAGUGAUACUACUGACCUCCCUUGAUGCUUAGUUUAUCUGUGUCAUAAAAUGCUUUAAUUUUGGGAAGAAAGGAACUGGAGAGGUAUGGAGGUAUGGAGGAAAACAGUGCUACAUGGACUAAUCAGGAAGGUGCUGUGAAGCAAAGAGAGAAGACAAAGCAGUAGCUGUGUAUGCAGGUAUCUUGCAGUUCUGUCUUACCAGUCUAGUGGGAGGCCAGGAGUCAGGGUGGCUGUUACAGUUAUACCAUGAUGAGAAAUGGGAAUGCCACAUUGACUGUUUGUGCAACUGUAAAUAAUUCAUAUCCUGUGUUUACAGGAAGUGUGGUUAUCCCAAGGGCACGUGUGCAGUUUCUUUUUCUCACUACUACUCUGCAAAGCACCAUCUGCUAGUGUUUAUUCUCUGGGUUCUGUCUGUUCAGUGGUAUUGUGUAUUAAGCCUAAAAAUUGUAUAGUGUUUUCUGAGUGUCAGAAGGAAACUUGGUAUGCUUGUGUGUAUGUUUUCUCAUCCACCUAACAAACACAAGGCCAACAGAAACAACACAAAUGUUAUGGUUAUUCUCCCCUUCCAUCUUUACGACAGCAUAUGGGAGGAGUAGUGCAAAUGUAAUGUGAUUUGGGCUUGUCGAUGCCCAAAUGGAAAUGUUUGUUUACCGGAUGGCAAAUACUGAAGCUUUAUCAGUGAGAAAAUUAGGCAGAAAGAGACUGCAUUUUGACUUUGCUAAACUUUUACACAAUUUCUCCUCCACAUGAAAUAUUUCCACAGGAAUGUAAUGCUUGUGAAAGAUGCUGGACCAACAAUUGCAGAGAUUGAACUCCUCUACCCACAGGAAAGGUUUUUCUACACCACAGGAGGUCUUCUCUUGUACAGGGACACUUAUCUCUUGAUACCACCUCCUUCACAAUGAAGAAAGGAUGGACCAGCAGCAAUGUGGAAUGGGGUGAUGUCCACACUUGGGGUUAACAGUCAUAAUAAACACUGUGCUGCUAACAUGGAGAAAUGAAUAAAACAAUUUAAUUC